rnacentral:tRNA from 1 species
GGGAAGUGGUCGAAACCGAUCUUAGGCUUCUAACCAAAGAAAAAGAGGUUUAACUCCUUUUACUUCUCUC